ACUUUGAAAGGGUAACUCCCAACACUCCUGGUCAGGACGUAAGACAAAAUUCUCCGAGCUAAAAUGUUUACUCACUAAUGUAAUAUUGUGACAUAUAUCUAUCUGUACGUUAAGUCUGAAUCUGCUUUUGCUGAUGGUACUGUUCAUGUGCACCUGUUCUUUCUAACAGGGUUUACGAGCCCUACAUAAAGUAGCUUUUUUUUUUUUUUCUGGCAGGUACUGGCAUUGCAAAGAGAAGGGAAAAAAUAAGGUGCAAUUUUUAAUCUUUUAGAUUACGCUAUUUUUACAUGGGAAUAUAUUCAUAGCAUAAAGAAGGGAGUGCUUUACUAGACAAACCAACCACUGCAGGAAUUCAGUGUUCAUUGUGUCAAGAGCAGCAGGAAGCUGGGACACAGAACAUGGCACUGUUUUCAGGUCAUUAGCUGUUCACCAGAUUUAGCUGAAAUUGGCUACUGGAUUCCAGAUCACUGUGAGGAAGUGUGACUGAUCAACAAAAGCAUCUGCACUGCUGGCUACAACUCGGGUCAAAUCAUAAACUCCCAUUGCGCUCCUAUUCAUGGAAACAUCUCUUUUUGGAUCUCCACAACCACUUUGAAAUGAUGACCAACAAGAACCAAUGCUGUGCUCUACCAAGCUGGUUAUUGCAGGUGUGCAGUGGCCUAUGAAGUUGUACUGAAGUCUACCUCAGGACAGUUUCAGAUUCAUAAGACUGUCACUGCACUGUUGCACAGUUUUAGGAAAAGCUCUGCUGGCAGAGUUCAAGUCAGAGCUGCUGUGUUACUACAUCCACAAAAACUCCCCCCAAACUCUUCAAAAAAGGCUUGUAAAAGUCCCACCUCCCUCUGAUGUGGCAGUUGAAUCAUACUUGUUUUAUAUUGUUCUUUUCAUGGUGUUAGCAGUAGAUUCUGUAAGAAUGGAGAUACGCCCCCAAACUUGUACAUAUACCAAAUUGCUUUAUAAUUCCUGUCUUUACAUAUCACAGUGGUACUUGCCCAUGGCAUUAAUAACCCCAACUGGACCUUGCUUGACCCUUAAGCCCUGUCAACAAAUUGUGCAAAGCCGAAUGAGGAGUGCAUUAAUCUUGUUCUGUAAUAGCAGAAAAGACAAUGUCCUUCUCUAAGCUGAAUUUAUGAUCUCUUUUUGUUGGAAAAAUUUCCAUUACAAAACCAAUAUUUUCAGGAAGGAAUUUGAGUAUUGCUUGUAAUUAUUUUCCAGGCUCACAUUGUUGAGGAUCAUCAACAUAACUACAUUUCAAGGGCAUUUUCUUAUGAAUCAUACUUUAGAUCAUGGCCUUCUGAAGAAAUUGCGCCUAGUCACAAAGAAAAUAUAGCUAAAAUAUAAAAACUUGAUACUUACAGGGAUU